rnacentral:tRNA from 1 species
GCCCUUGUAGCUCAACGGACAGAGCGCUGGUUUGCGGAACCAAAGAUGUCAGUUCAAUUCUGACCAGGGGCA